rnacentral:lncRNA from 1 species
GAAAGCAGUUUGUUUUCAGCAGCUUGAAGGAGACACCAGAAACUUUUCUCCCACUCAAAUGAACCAACGUGUCAUUUUGCACUGAGAAUUAUAUUUAAUGAAAGAUUUAGAUAGUAAUAAAAGUGUUAACUACUUUAAAUGUUUUGUGAUGAACAAGAAAAAAAAAGAAAAAAAAAAGUGAAGAUUUGUGUCCCUCUGCAUCUGACCAGUUGGAUUUAUGAAUUUCUCAACAACAACAACAACAUUCCAAAGAGCGAAGUUAAUAAAGUUUUUAUAAAGAUUUUGUUUGAAAUAACUAUCUUUAUAUAGAGAAAGUGUUGUUUGUGUACAAACAGUUUAUUUAAUUGCAUCUUUAUUUGUUUUCUAAUUUCACUUAAUGGCACAUCAAAAAUCUAGGCUACAAAAAAAGCAAUCCUAUAAUUCUAUAAUGGAGCGUAUUAUCAACUAUUAUUGGGUUUAUUUUUUGCAAUAAGAGCCUUAUUGUUCAUUGAUAAUAUCUAAAGAAUUGUAUUUUUUUCUGACAACAAAUCGGUUUUUAAAAUGCAUUAGGCCUACAAGCCAUUUACUAUUUAAUAGGGCAACUUAGUACAAUCUAAACUGGCAUUUUGAACAAUAGAACAGAAAACAGCUGAACUGUUUCAGCUUUUUUAGAUUAAAUUGUACCUUCAAAAAAUAUAUUUUACCCUGAUUUUAAGAUUGCCAGUGUGGUUAUAUUGUGUUCGCUUGUUUAACCUAUAUGAGCUUAAAGUGACCUUUUGAAAGAACAGUCAUUGAUCAUUGAUGGUACACUGAGGUAAUGAGGCGAAUGCGUUCUGUUUAUUUGCUGUCAUGCAGUAUCCGUUUCUCUGCCACUAGAUGGCGCUGCUCUAUGAGGUCAUCGCGGCUGCUGUUCUAUGUCGUUGCCACUAGAGCGCGCGUAAUCUCCAUUCCCGAAGCUGAACGUUGCUUUCCCACAUCCGAGUUCAUCAGUGAGAAUAUGUCACCGCUGUGCCACUUCCUCAAAGAUGUUGCCACAGAUAAACCAGUAACCACACAGGCAGCACUCGUCGUGUUCUUACUGUCGCCAAUGUGCUGCAUUAUAAGCUCUUUCUGAGUGUAUAUGUGCUUGAAGGGUUAGUAAGCAGUCAGCUAUGAUCUACACUGGGAUGAUCUUAUUCAAGGUAACCUUCAUCAUGGUCCAUCUGUAAACAUAUUCCUUUCCACAAACAGUCAAACUCCAUAGACUGACUGUCAUCUCCUCUUCUUUCCUCUCCUCCGCAACCCUUCUUAACCCCCCCCCCAUCCCUCUCUCCCAGAUGAAGUCCAGUCAAUUCUAUUUUUAGAGUACAUUGGCCAGUUCCCUGUCAAAGAUCAAUAAAACAAAACCCGACCUUAAAAUCUGUUGUUAAGAACAAUACAAAGCUGCU